rnacentral:rRNA from 1 species
AUUGAACGCUGGCGGCAGGCCUAACACAUGCAAGUCGAGCGAGCGGCGGACGGGCGAGUAAUGUAUGGGGAUCUCCCUGAUGGAGGGGUAUAACUUCUAGAAACGGUAGCUAAUACCGCAUACUAGCAGAUGAACCCAUAUGGUUUGAGCUUGUAGGUGGGGUAACGGCUCACCUAGGCGACUAUCCCUAGCUGGUCUGAGAGGAUGAUCAGCCACACUGGAACUGAGACACGGCCCAGACUCCUACGGGAGGCAGCAGGGGGGAAUAUUGCACAAUGGGCGCAAGCCUGAUGCAGCCAUGCCGCGUGUAUGAAGAAGGCCGUCGGGUUGUAAAGUACUUUCAGUCGGGAGGCGUUACCGACAGAAGAAGCACCGGCUAACUCCGUGCCAGCAGCCGCGGUAAUUC